CUCACCUAUCGUCGCAGAUAUUCGAAAGGAAAUUGAAAGGACGAAGGACAAAUUUUUCAAGAGCCAAUUGCACUUGAUCAACGUAACCCUAAAUACUCCGUACACGAAAUUCAAAUGCGUCUAUGGCGCUGACAAAUCGUUUGUUAAAGAGAUUUCUUUCACUAUUAAAGAAUUAGACCCAGUGUCUAAUUUAAUUAUCCUAGAAAAAGGAGUCGGCAAAAAUUUGAUCUGCAACCGUUGGUCGCAAGAUGUUGCCAUUCACUGGCUAAAGGAUGGCAUAACACACUCCGACUCGGUCUAUGAAAACGAAACCGCGUCUGUUGUGCAACUACAAGGAAAGAAAACGGAG